rnacentral:lncRNA from 1 species
GUCCGCCAUUACCUCGUCAAAUAGAGAAGACACAAGAAGAAAUACGAGACAUUACACUGUUUAAAAGGUCAUGUUUGCAAUUGCCAGGGAACAAGCCAACCUGUUGGAUUCAACACUGCUGAUUUUUUCCCCAACAAUAAAACAAUCUAUUCCCAUCUCUUUCCUACCAAGACAAACAGAUCUUGGAAACCUUCCUUUCCAGUCUGCCUUCUAAAUUUCCCACUUUUUUCCAUCCAUCUCUUACUUUGAACAUCCUUUCAUAUCAAGGUAAAGUUCAAGUAUCUUUUUGCAUUGAUUUUCUGUGCAUUUGAUACAUUGAUGCGCAUUGCAAGAUUUAAUUUUUUUCAUUAAUCUGGUAUUUGAACUUUACCUAAGUCUUUAGUACCCUGCCACAGUCUUUCCCCUCUGAUGAAGUUUGUCAUUUGUGUUAUGCGUUUUAACUUUGUUGAUGUAAGCAUAGGCAAUGCAUUUCUCUUUCACCUGAUUUACCUCUUAAUUUCUUAAUUAAUUUUGCAUUUAUUUGCCUAUGCUUGACAUUAUGCUAUCCUUAUGUCUGAUGUCAUGUCUUAUGCAUGACUUAAAUCACAAUUUUCUAUUUUAUACUUACCUGCAUUACAUCCAGUUUUAACUGCAUUAGAGUUGUUUUCGUAAACUCAUGAAAUACAAUUAGCACUCUAUUUUUUUCAUAUCUCUUUUUUCAAUGAUUUUCAUAUUGCUUUUCCUAAUGAAUGAUGUAUAUACUACUAUUACAACCUAUUUCACUAAUGGUUAUUAUCCUUGAUGUGUUCUCACGGUUUUAUGAAAGUUACUCUAAUGUAUUCAUGGGGUAUUGCUGUGUAUCCUGGCUAGUGUUUUGCUUGCACCCAAGUGAAAACAAGACUGUUCUUUCACAAGUGUUUAUCACCAGACUGUGAAGUAGAGAAGUGAUUGGGUGGUGUAUUAUUGUCUGCAUGUGUGAAACUGUUGAGAAAAACUGUCCAAGUUGCCAAAUAUUGAACAUGCAACUAUAAUAGACUACCUGAAACAUCUAACAUAUAGCUGGUGACGCAACAGCUCGGAAGCUAUGCCUGGUUUUAAAACAUUCACUCCAAAUUUAUGUGAUGCUUAUAUUAUUCAAUAAGAAAAUGGUCUCUCGAGGCAACUGUGGCUAUAUAAGCUUCACUAUUUCACAGUCUGGCUAAAACAUUUUAAUGGUUAGAGGCCCAAGUGCAUCUGAGAGCCUCGUCCAUUGUAAUAUGCAACAUUCUCAGAUACCCAUGGACCUUUGAGUAUAAUCACAUUUGGAUCAUGUAUAAACUUGACUAGAAAUCUCUGGAUGACAAGUCUUGAUUUAUCAAUUUACUUGACGUUUCAACCAUUGCUUGCGACAUUUCAUACUCUUGAAAAUAAAAUGAACAUCAAGUAAACUGAUAAAUUAAGACCUGUCAAUCAAAACUUCAUAGUCAAGUACUAAUAUCGUAAGUAGUUUGUCAGAGUGAUCAGUCACAAACAGUCGAGGGGAGUAUCCUUGUUUCUUCACUUAAAGUGGGACAGGGAACCAAACACUAUUAAUAAAUACAAAGGAAAUUACAUGGAGACUUCCCCUUGAUUGUUUUGUCCCUGAUUACUCGUAUAAACAAAGUCUGGUUCACAUAAAGACAUCAGCAUAAGAAUUUUCACUUUGCUUUUUUUAUAUUAUGCUAAUUUCUUUUGUGUUUGACUUCUGAUUGUCUUUCUGUGAACCAGACUUAACAUUGUUGACAUUGUACAUCACCAAGGGGACUGGGCAUUGUGUAUCUUAUUCCCUUGGGAAUUAAAAUAUGACAAAAUAAAAUACUAUGGAUUACG